rnacentral:snRNA from 1 species
GUCCUCACUACGGUGGGCGAAUACUAAAAUUGAAACGAUACAGAGAAGAUUAGCAUGGCCCCUGGCGCAAGGAUGACACGCACAUUCGUGAAGCGUUCCAUAUUUUU